UCAAAAAAUCAACCAAUAGAAAGAUAUUUUUUUUGCCACGUCAGCACUGCUCCAAAACCUAAUGUUCUUUGUUUUGAUCGUCUCCGACUAUUGAACUUCGUUUCAAUCGAAAGACUGGAUGAGAUUGUACCAGGAAGUGAGGGAGCUGAGUCAAAUCGCUGAUGAAAGAUCUCUGAAUCAAAACCCUAAUUCCUCAAUCCCGAUCCUUUCUCUCUCGAUCUUAGUCGAAUCCCCCAGCAGCGAAGAUGGUUUUAGCGGAGCUCGGCAGGCAGAUCGCCAGCGCCUUGCAGAAGAUGAGCAAUGUGAUGAUCAUCGGUUUCCAAUCUGAAUGGGAAGAUCGAAGAGGGAGGGGAAGCGAACUUUGUCAAGUUUCUAAAGGACAAACGGGUUAGUGUUCAAGGAAAGGUCAGAGCAUUGGUUUUUAAUUCAGUCUGAUUUUAUGUUAAGUGAUCUUUGACUUUUGUUCCAAACUCUGCGGUAAUGUUACUUACAUCUUUACAAAUCUAUUUUUCGCCUUGGAUACAAAAACAUGAAUCUUAUGCUAUACUAAAGUCCUACAUUACUUAUAUUGUUCCAGUUAUAUUUGUGAUCACUGAGCAGAAUAAUUUUCUCAUAUUUGAGGAUCGCAAGUUAGCAGACAGUGGUGACACUGUCACUAUGCAGUAUGCAGGAGGCGUCUUUAAGAUAUUAGAGUGGGCUGGUAGUAUAAACACUAUCAUAAUAUCAGGUCCGUGAGGCAUGAAUCUUGGAUGGCCCUGGCCUCAAGUCGAAGGAGACUACAUUGCAACAGCCGUGAAAUCGCAGAGGAUCAUUCUGAUUUCGUGAUGGCUUCAUAGGAUUUAUCUCGGUUAACCCGGCUUCUUGGAGAUGUGGAUUUCUGCCGAUAGCUCGCUCCAAUCAAAGAUGGAACCAUUAGCAGCGAGAUUGGAAAACAGAUAAUUGAUCAUGUGGAAACUGAGAAAAUAGUUAUGGAAGUGGUCUCCAAACCAGUUUGAGCAGUACCUAAGUGGCAAACCCACGCUUGAAGACUUUUUCCCUGGUUAGAUAUGGCUGAUGCGACCAGCCCUUUGUCGAGAGCCCACUAAAAAUUUAAAGUUUCGACGACUGUGUUAUUUGUUUUCAUUUUUAUGUCCUGCAAGUGAAAUAGCACAUUAAAAAAUUGUUAGUCUAAACAUAUCAAGUGGUCUUACAUAUUUAAUGUGUUUUUUCAUGAUUGGCAUCAAAGAUUUUCGUAAUAGUGGCCA